rnacentral:rRNA from 1 species
GAUGAACGCUAGCUACAGGCUUAACACAUGCAAGUCGCGGGGCAGCAUGGGGGUUGCCUGCAACUCCCGAUGGCGACCGGCGCACGGGUGAGUAACGCGUAUCCAACCUGCCCUUCACCACGGGAUAACCCGGCGAAAGUCGGACUAAUACCGUAUGUUGUCCAUUGACGGCAUCCGAUUUGGACGAAAGGCUUUGCGGUGAAGGAUGGGGAUGCGUCCGAUUAGCCAGACGGCGGGGUAACGGCCCACCGUGGCUACGAUCGGUAGGGGUUCUGAGAGGAAGGUCCCCCACACUGGAACUGAGACACGGUCCAGACUCCUACGGGAGGCAGCAGUGAGGAAUAUUGGUCAAUGGGCGUAAGCCUGAACCAGCCAAGUAGCGUGCAGGAUGACGGCCCUAUGGGUUGUAAACUGCUUUUAUGCGGGGAUAAAGUGGCCCACGUGUGGGCUUUUGCAGGUACCGCAUGAAUAAGGACCGGCUAAUUCCGUG